GUACGGACCCCGACGGAACCAGGGGCGAGGGCGGGGAACCCACGUUCCCACAGAGGUUUUCGGAGCUCAACCGAGUUUCGAAGCCUCCGCAGGAAGCGGGAACGGCCGGCAACGACCGAUCCCUUGGGGUGAAGUCCCGGCGAGCCGGGACCGGACGGCCUCUCAGUCCGAACCCGACAGCUCACCUCGCAGGCGCGUACGAGAGGAAGA
rnacentral:sRNA from 2 species